rnacentral:lncRNA from 1 species
CUAAAUCUUGUACUUGAGUAACUGGGUAGGUGGUCAAGCCAUUUUCUGAGAUGGCAAAAACUGGGAGAACAGUUCUGUGGGUGUUGUGGGUGUUAGAAGCCAGAUAUCAAAAGUGUGUGGGACAUUUAGACUUUGAGAUGCCUAUUAGACAAGCAGGUGGGGAAGGAGGCAGUUGAAUAUGAGUCUGGAGCUGGGAGGAGAGAGAUGAGAGCUGUAGGUACGGAUAGAAGUCAAAUCUGGAUGUUGCCAGGCGCGGCGGCUCACACCUGUAGUCCCAGCAC